CCUACGGGAGGCUGCAGUAGGGAAUGUUCGUCAAUGGGCGCAAGCCUGAACGAGCAAUGCCGCGUGAAAGAGGAAGGUCUUCGGAUCGUAAAGUUCUGUUGAAGGGGAAAAAGAGCGGAGAGAGGAAAUGAACUCCGAUUGAUAUUACCCGUCGAGGAAGUCACGGCUAACGACGUGCCAGCAGCCGCGGUAAUACCGAGGUGUCCAGCGUUAUCCGGAAUUACUGGGCGUAAAGGGUGCGUAGGUGGUGUCGUAAGUCAGAGGUGAAAGGUUACGGCUCACCCGUAGUAAGCCUUUGCAACUGGGAACCUUGAGUGCAGGUGCGGCGAGUGGCAUUCCUCGUGUAGCGG
rnacentral:rRNA from 1 species